rnacentral:rRNA from 1 species
UACGUAGGGGGCAAGCGUUGUCCGGAUUCAUUGGGCGUAAAGAGCGUGUAGGCGGCCAGGUAGGUCGGUUGUGAAAACUGGAGGCUUAACCUCCAGACGUCGACGGAAACCGCGUGGCUAGAGUCCGGAAGAGGAGAGUGGAAUUCCUGGUGUAGCGGUGAAAUGCGCAGAUAUCAGGAGGAACACCGGUGGUGUAGACGGCUCUCUGGACCGUAACUGACGCUGAGACACGAAAGCGUGGGUAGCAAACAGG